rnacentral:lncRNA from 1 species
AACAUUAGUCCUGAAGUAUCUUAUCAGGGUUCACAAGUUCAGGAUAUGUAAUUGAAAACUUCACAAUUCUUAUCAGCAAUUGAAAUCAGAAUUCAAACUUACAGAAGAAUUGUCGAAUUGGAUUCAUCACAUUUUUACUUAAAAACCAAAGGUUAGGCUGCUGAUCAGUCACGCACUAACCCCGAACAUGGCACACAACCCUGUUCUCUAUACUGGAUCCAAGGCACACAUUGGCCUAUAAUUGACCACGAAUCUGGUCUGACCACGAAUCUGGUCCACAUAUUUUAUAAAAACUAAUCCAAUUCUAACAAUUUAGAUCAAUAAACAAUUCAAUCAAUAGAACAGAAUUAUAAUCAUUAUCAACAACAUAAAUAUUUUAAAUCAACUUUUGAGAAUCAAC